GACGAACGCUGGCGGCGCGCCUAAUGCAUGCAAGUCGAGCGACGCAUAUCGGAGGAGUAAUCCACUGAUAUGACGGAGCGGCGAACGGGUGAGUAUCACGUGAGAAACCUGCCCCGAAGACCGGGAUAGCCCGGGGAAACCCGGAUUAAUACCGGAUAUUCUCUACAGAUCGCAUGGUCUGCUGAGGAAAUGCCUUUGUGCUUCGGGAUGGUCUCGCGACCUAUCAGCUAGUUGGUGAGGUAAUGGCUCACCAAGGCAACGACGGGUAGCUGGUCUGAGAGGACGAUCAGCCACACUGGGACUGAGACACGGCCCAGACUCCUACGGGAGGCAGCAGCAGGGAAUCUUGUCCAAUGGGCGAAAGCCUGAGACAGCGACGCCGCGUGGGGGAUGAAGGCCUUCGGGUUGUAAACCCCUUUCAGGAGGGACGAAAUUGACGGUACCUCCAGAAGAAGCCCCGGCCAACUACGUG
rnacentral:rRNA from 1 species